ACUCUUUUGGGCGAGUUACAAAAAGGACUCCAGGGUUUCCGACUUUUGGUUGCAGGUUUCCGACACUUGGACAUCUGGUACCCGACGUUAGGACAUCUGCCCACCGACGUUUGGACUACUGGUCCCCGACGUUUGGGCGCAUCAGUAAAUUGUUGCUGAACCCACCGAGCGCUAUACUUUCCGACAAGAGGACUCCCGUGCCAUCGACAUUAGGACUUUUUUUUUUUUUUUUUUACUUGAUGAUUGGGACUGCAAACGUCAAACGGACUCGCAUGUAAACGACAAACGGACUCCCGAUCUAGCGACAAAUGGACUUUCAAACAGGACGGCGAUGGGAUUCAAACGAAACAGAACCAAAGAUUAACACUGUCAUCGCCGCCCAAACAGGAGAUGCAGCUUUUCUUCAUUGUCAUAUGGAGCUCAGAGAGGAUCAUGGCGUAAGUUUCACUGAUGAACCCAAAGGCAAAAAAGAUGAUUGUUUAAAUAUUAGGCGUCCUAUAUAAUAUCUUGCGUAUGCAGAUGUCAACUGGCACAAACAGAAUAUAACAUAACAUGACGAAAAUAAUAUUUCAGUUUUAGCAACCGAAAAGCAGCUAAGCGUAACCAACUAAAAAAAAACUCCUAAAACAAAAAAAAAUGCGUUACACGUAAAGUUUUUCCCUACAGUGGUAGAUGGGAAAUAAAGUUGCUAAUAAAUAAAACCCUUUUCUAGUAAUUUGUAUUUGGUUUCAGUUGCCAGACCACCACAGCGAACUAGCUGCAUAAAUUAGAAUAGAAUAUGUUACGAGUUACUUCAACGAAUGAUUUACAUUGCAAUAAAACUGUUUUUUUUCCUCUGUUUGUUGCAAGCAUUUAACAACUUUACUUGUUCGUCUGGUUAUUAUGUCAGAAACAUCCCAAUUCUGAAAGGUAGGUACAUCCCUAUUACUUUGUAGGUAUCUUGGGUACGUCGGCGAUAUUAGUAUAUUUUGUAGUGCGGACUCUAAAGUAUAUUCAAGGGACGAAAGGAUUCGUGUUACUUCAGCGGACAAUACCGAAAACAUUUGGACGUUGCUUAUAAAAUACAUAAGAAAAGACGACGAGGGUAUCUAUGAUUUCAGAUCACGACUAGGAAAUCCGCAUCCACCCAGUCUGUCGAAUUACGAAUUGUUGAACCACAAGCUGUGCUUGUCGGGUCUGAAGAUAUAUAUUUUGGUGUCGAGAGUCCUUUUACAGUUACGUGCGUCAUUACGAAUGUAAGUGAAAUCUUUUAUUUUUAAA